ensembl:lncRNA
AAGUGUUCACGCAUUCCGAUGUAUCUUUGGAAAUAAGGCCCUCAUAGGAAGUUGAGUUUGUCUGAGGUAUAAACGUCACAGCGGCUUGAGUCGGACUCGAGUGGGGGAGCACAGGGAAAGGUCACGCCCUUAAAUUCAAACUUGGGUUCAGGGUCAUGGUGCACUGGGAGAGAUGGAGCAGCUGGCUGCUGAGCAUCAGGUAAAACCUGCAGAGAACAAGAAACGUGAGUAUUACAAGGAGGUUACAAUUCAUGAAUUAGGUCUAAAAUACAGAUAUAUCACCUUCUGUUGUUUUAGAGUUGUUGUUGUUAUUAAGAAUAUUAAUGUGGAAAUAUUACCAUGCAUAUCUACUGUAUGUGUUCGCUACAUCUAUGGUAAUAUUCAUUAUGGUAAAGAUAGUGAUUUAGUUUUUAGAAUAAUCCUUUGCCAGUGUGAUUUGGGGGAGUUUGUUUGGCCCCAAGGACACGCACACAUUCCUCCACAAGGCGCAUUUCAUUUGGAGAAACACUGACGAACGCAAACAAGACAUCGGAGAGCUAAUCAAGAAUACGCUGAGAUGGUUUUGAAAUAAAUGUUAAGAACAACAAUGGCAAAUGAAUUGCUUUUUACCUCAGAAUAAGAGGGCGGCGAAUCCUGAAACGGAUGGUUGUGUACCUACAAUGUGAAGCAACACGUGACAGUUUAGUUGUGGAGGGCAGGAGAAUAAACAGGGUUCAGGUUCAGGUUUCUCCAUGAGAUGCAACAAACACUAACCAGCGAAUCACUCGGAGCAGAAGAAGGCUGAUUGAAGCAGUUUGUCCCAAAGGGCUCAAUGAGUUGGUCUGAGCUCGGUCCGCAGGGCUCAUUGUAACGCUGUGGUUAAAAUAAAAAACACAAUGUGGAAUCAGGACAUAAACGGCAGGAGCCUCGGCUCCACUGGGCUGUGCACGCGGGCAGUGCGGCCGUACCCUUUGGUAUUGGACCUCUGGUUCGGCAGCAGCAGUUUCAGUCGGCUCCUCUUGGGACUUUUUCUUCCCACAGCAGCAGAUCUUGCAGCAACAGCACAAGAACAUGGAGAGGACGCCAACCCCAAUACUGAGACCAGGUAGCGAAUACGGUUGUGCUGCAACAAUCAGUCAUUUAGUGGAUGGACAGAGAAUGUAUCGGCAAUCAUUUAUGGUAACGCAUCAAUCAUUCAAUUCAAAUCAUCACAUUUUUGACCGUCUGAUUCUCUGAAAUGGGAGAAUAUCCUUCCUGUCUCUGAUUUGAAUUACUGUUCACUUUCAUCGACGGGAAAAAGAAACAUUUCAACAAGAAGUAGAUAAUAGAAAGAACUCAUAUGAUCAGACAAUACUCAAAUAAAACAGUAAUCUGACACUUAUCAAAUAACAGCGGUUACUUACGCUCCAUUUCCAGUGUUACCACAAAGCCUGUGUUGUCAUUCUGAUCUCUGAUCUCAUACCUUCCGUUGCACGACAUCUGGACGACCUUGUUUAAAAUCCCACAUGGCUUUAACAGCUCAAACCCGCUGCAACCGAUUUCAUCCAAACCCUCCUGCAGCACGCCUCCAUAGACUAAGUUAAUCACUGAGUCGCCUUCUGGCCGGAAGUAAAUGUUACAGGAGUUUGGUUCCAGAUUAAAAGUGAAGUUGAAGUUGUAACCAGGUGUCCGUAUUACGGUCCUUAGGAUUUCUGCAACGAUUCAUAUCCAGUGACACCAUUAAGGCCGUGUUGUCAUUCUGAUCUCGGAUCUCAUAGCGUCCGUCGCAAGAAAUCUGGAGGACUUUAUUUGAAAUCCCACAUGGAUGUAAAAAAUCAAACCCUUUGCAAUAAAGUUCAUCGGAAUCCCCCUGAAGCACGCCGCCACGAAUUAUUUUAUUCUCCAACAUUCUCAGCCGGCGAGUUCUGCUUGGGAAGAAGUAAAUGUUGCAGGAGUCUGGUUUCAGAUUGAAGGUGAAGCUGAGGCGAUCACCAGGUUCCGGACUAUAGGUCCUCGUGGUUGCUGGACAAUAAAAGAGAGAGUUUAUCAGAGUGAUAUUGCAAAAUAAUAGAUGAGAGCCAAGACGGAUAUUCACCUUUUACUUCAAGUGUGUAGGUGGAAAUUUCUUUCAGAUCUUUGUCUCUACUUAUGUAGUGGCCACUGUCAUUCUGAGUUAACUUAUGUAUCGCAAAGAUACUACCCGUCAUUACAAACUUCCUAUCCAAUGUGAUUACGCGUUGAUCCUUUUUCCACAAUAUUGUCACAUUUGAGUUGUGCUCCGGGUGGAACUCUAAGACGUGAGGGUUUCCAUGCAGCAUAAAGUAAUAACUCUCCCCAUACUUCUUCACCACGCCAGUGACACGAGAGACUCCUGAUGAGAGAAAGUCCAAAAGAAACAUUGUUAGUGUAGGAUAUCUUUUUGGCCUUCAAAAUAAAAUUGCCCCCAAAAUCAUUCAACAUGGAUCUGAAAUUUAGACUUCAAAACAUUGCAAUGUAUUAUCUUUACCUACAUAAUAAAAUAAAUCAUUUAAAAUAUCAUCUGAGUUCAAAAUAAGAUCAUUUUUGUGAUCACGGUGUUUUUUAAAUAACA